AAAAGAAUUGCUAAUUGCAGAGUGCGCUUGCCCAGCUGAGGCAUUGGAGCAGGGCAUUUUGAUAGUGGCUGGAGGGCAGGCAGCUCAACCUCUAAACCCCCCUGGUCUGGGCACCAAGUCCUGUCCUGGGCACGGGACACAGUCCUCCAGCGAGACCAAACCCAGCUUCUCUACAGCACCAGGAAGAAGGCAAGCUGGGCCACCAGGGCGCGGCCCCAGGAAGGAAAAUCCUCCAUGGUCCUGUUGACAGAUGUGGUAUCAAAUGAAUUGUUCUCUGCUUAGACACGACUUUGAUAUUUAUUGGUUCAAAUUGCUCGGCUGACUCAGUCUUGCUGAGCCCUGAAGCAUGGCAUUGAGAAGCUGCCUAAGAAGGAGGCAGAUCCAUCAGCCUGGGUGCCCGACUGAUUACCCUGAGCAGAGCUCCCCAGCCCACCUGUGAUGGACGCAUGGAGCUUGAGCAAGGAAUAAAUAUUCGUUGCUGGACUCUGAUUACACUGGACCUAUCCAAGAUCUGAGAUCAUCAACUCAUCUCAAAAUCCUUAAGCUGACCACAGCAGCAUCGUCCCUUUUGCAGUGUAAGUUCCCCUCCAGGUUUGCACAGCAUCUGCUGAAGUCUCCACUAGAAACUCAAUGGAAGGUCCCCACCGGAAACUGAAAGUCUCCUAGAGUGGCUUUGAGUUGCGGUUUCACCCUCCCUGCAGAUCCACAGGGGAGGCUGGGGCAGAUGGAAAAUACCAACUUGAUGGUCUGUGGCCACACCAUGCUGCUCCCCAAGGCCCCUCAGAAUUUCACUGCCCAAUAUGGUAGCGCCCAGCCUGAAACGUGGCCAGUGUGAAUUGAGAUGGGCUGGAAAUGCACCAGACUUCCAAGAGCUGGACAAAAACCAUAUACUUUCCAUCCAGCUGUUUGGCAUUGGAUACUGCUGCCUCUGCUUGACUUGAGAAUGUGUGAGAAAAGCUGUGUUUAGACAACUGAAAACCAUGAGCUUGAAAGUAGUGGGGGCACACUCUUGGAGACUCCAGUUGCUCACCAGCUUGGACAAACCACUGGACUCAAAUGAUCAGGUAGAAAUUCAUCACUGGAGAGAACACAGUGGAAUGGCUUCAGCGAAAACUCACUCUGAAGGUCUUCAGGGCAACUUUAAGACUUGCCCCUGGCCGGGCACAGUGGCUUAUGCCUAUAAUCCCAGCACUUUGGGAGGCCGAGGCGGGUGGAUCACCUGAGGUCAGGAGUUCAAGACCAGCCUGGCCAAUAUGGCGAAACCCUGUCUCUACUAAAAAUCCAAAAAAUUAGCCGGGCGUGGUCGUGGGCGCCUGUAAUCCCAGCAACUCGAGAGGCUGAGGCAGGAGAAUUGCCUGAACCCGGGAGGCAGAGUUUGAAGACAGCCGAGAUUGCACCACUGGGCAACAAGAGCAAAACUCCAUCUCAAAAAAAAAAAAAAAAAAAAAAAUACUUGCCCCGGCUUUUUGUGUGAUGGACUUUCUAUUUACAGACGUGAUAUUUAUCUAUGACUUUACUCAGAGUCUGGCUCAUAGACCAGAAGGACUGGUAUCUCCUGGAGCUUGCAGGAAAUGCAAAAUCUCAAACCCCUGUAUUAGUCAGGGUUCUCCAGAGAAGUAGAGCCAAUGGGAUAGAGACAGGGAUAGGGAUGAUAGAGAUGGAGAUAGAGGUAGAGAUCCAUUGAUUCCUCUGUUAAUAAAUUGGCUCAUGCAGUUGUGACAAUUUCGAAAUCUGCAAGGUAUGUCAGCAAGCUGGAGACCCAGGGAACAGUUGAUGUUGCACCUUGAGUACAAAGGCAGUGUGUCUGGAGCCAUAAUAUCUUCUUGUUAGGAAGACUUUGGUCUUUUCUCUUCUGGCCUUCAACUGCUUGGGUGAGGCCCGUCCCCACUACAGAAGACAAUAGUCUGUUCUACUCAGAGUCUACUGAUUUAAAUGCUCAUCUCAUCCCAAAAAAUACCCUCACAGCAACAUUUAGCCUGUGCAUUUGACCAAACAACUGGGUACCAUGCCCCCCCUCCCAAGUUGACACACAAAAUUGACCAUCAUACCCUCCCCACCCCCAGUCUUACUGAAUGAGAGAGAAUCUGUGCUUCAACAAGAUCCCCAGAAGAGGUAUAAGCGCAGGGAAGUCUGAGAAGCACCACCUUUGAGGCUUAUCCAGGAUGCCCACAUGAGCCUUCUCUGGAUAUGUCAGAUCCCCUUCCUGGCCCCCUAGACACCUCCUCCACUCCCCAAACUUGGAAGCAACAUUGUGGGGAAGCAGGCAGUGAGGCGCUCAGUCUACCACGUUGUGAGAUACACAGCUCCAUCUGUGUAUCAUGAUUUGAUCCAAGGGAAAACAAAAGAUCCAGAAACAUAAGUACUUUUUUGUGAGCUCUCAAAAACUUCCUGUGACAAGAUCAGGUCGUUGAUGCGAGAGCCACACUUGUUUCUUUUUCCUCUUUAUUCUCCACCUCUGACAUAAUACUUAGCAUAAAAAAAAAUCCAAUAAACACCACUGAAUCAAUUAUCUAAGCCUCAGUUUCCCUCUUGUAAUAUGUACUUACCUGGUUGUGGUAGGAAAGACACCAGGCAUGAGAAACACUUAAAAGCCCAGGACCCUGAGCUGGGCACAUGGUAGGUACUCAGGAAGUCAUUGCCGAGUGUUCAGUGCAUGCUUGUUGAAUGAGUAAAUGAGGUCAGGCUUCAGCAUGCAAACACUCGCUAUAAAGCAGGAACCCUGUGCCCUGAGUGCACAAAAUAGAUAUCGGUGAGUGCAUAUGGGGGCAGUGAGUGUAUGGAUUGGAUAUAGGUGGGUGUAUAUGGUGAGGAGUAUGGAUUGGAUACAGGUGGGUGUAUACAGAGGGGAGUGAGUGUAUGGAUUGGAUACAGGUGGGUGCAUAUUGGGGGAGUGAGUGUCUGGAUUAGAUACAGGUGGAUGCACAUGGGAGGAAUGAGUGUACAGAACGAAUACAGGUGGAUGCAUAUAUUGGGAGUGAGUAUACAGAGAGGAUACAGGUGGAUUGAGUUGUUACAACCAACGACAGGAAGCACAUGCAAGGCUCUAGGCAUUGCACAAAGCACUCCAUAGGCAAAAUCACACUGGCGCCAAUAGCAAUCCUGGGAGAUGUACUCAUUAUUAAUAAUAUUGUUGUCAUUUUAUAGAGAAGGAACACAGGCUCAGACAUCAGUGCCAUAUCUGAAGACAUUCAGCUAAUAACAGGAUGGAGUCCAAUCUGAAACAACUGUCACGCUGAGCCUAAUUGCUGAAGAUGGUUGAAGGCACCAGGAGGCUGGAGUUUCCUGGAGGUGGUUUGUGGCCAACCGUCAAUUACUUGGGCUGCUGUGCAGUGGGGAUAGAAGGAUGAUUAGAAUCCACAGACAACCCAUUGGCCUUUGUUUACCAUUAACUUCUGUUUUCUCCACCAGCCAAGCUCCUCCAGACCCAGGAGAUGGCUCUUCCCUCUGUGUAGCACACUCUUUCCAGUCAAGGGGUCUUGCACUGCUAUUUCCCCUUCUGCUUUGCUUGGUUCAUUCUUACUGACCCUCCAAAUACUGAAGGAAUGAAUGGAGAAAUAAGUAAAUGAGAGAUGUGGCCAAGAGUCUCCAAGAGAGGAAAUUAAAAAAUCCUAUACCUGUGAGGAACUGGCCCACUUGCAAAAGGCGGACUCAUUUGUCACUGUGUUUGCUGGCUGCUCGCACCACACAGUUUCCAGCCUAGGCAUUAUUUCCAACCUCUUUUUCCAAAGGGUCUUUCUAAGGUACAGAAAAUGGACAUAAAAUCGCCCAACGUAGUUGAGAGGUAAGGAGUAAAAGCCGGAAUUUGAACUCCUAAUCUCCUGCCACGAUUUCAUGCUGCCUCUGGGUAAUCUCCCAGCACGUUGCUUAAUCAGCUGCUGAGUCAUUGAGAGCCGGCAGAACCAGCUUCCUGCUGAGGCAGAGUGGGAGGAGGCCCGUCUGGGAGCAGCACACUGAAGGAAGGGAGGAGGAGGUGAUGUUUGGCACAAUCGGAUUGGUUCCCAUGAGGUCCAGGGCUGCGGCUCCUACAGAAGGCACUUUUUGCAUAUGGUAGGCUUCACGGGGUGCAACCUCUGUGUUGUUAGGAGAACCUCGUGCUUGCUAUGAUGCUCUGCUGUCAUUAUCUUGAAAUUCUUAGUCACAUUAAAACACGGGAGCCUACAUGUUUAUUUUGCACUGGAUCCUGCAAAUUAGCCAGUCCUGGUACUGAGGGCAGGUCCCUGGGUGAGUCUCACACAGCCUCCAUCCUUUGGUAAAGCAGCUUUCCUGAUUUAGCAAAUGCCUUACCAGAAAGCCUUUUCCUUGAAGAUGCUUUAACUUUUGUCUUCCCUGGCAAAGCUGUUUCCUUAUGGUAAAGCACCCAGCUCAUAGCUGAUAUUCAAUCCAUGAAGUAGCUCUGUCAGCAGCUGUCAUCAUGAAGACUUUGCAGCCUGCGGGUGGUAGCAUUCUGAAUCGUCAGUCUGUCUCGCUCCUGUAGCAAAUGCACGAUCCGGGAAAGCAUGUCCCAAGCUUUGUUCUGGAGAAGAUUUCUCCAGCUAUCAGAUGGUGUCUGUCAUCACAAUAGCUUAGGAGAUGCUGCUCACUCCAUCCUCCUCACUAAGUGUCACAGUACACUUGGGUAUGUACAAGUCUCUGAGAAGUCCAGCAGCAAAGACACCUUUGUGUUUUGCUGAUUCUAGCCUUUCCUAGACUAGAAGUCUUUUUUUCUAGUCUAGGAAAAGACUGUGGAAUCUUUUCUUUUUUUUCCUGAUACACACAUUCACAUUCCGUGGAACAUUUAGGACGUGGUUAUCUGGUCCUAAAGUAGUAAAGGUGAAGAUGUUGUGGGAGGUGCAAGAAAGAGCAGCAAGGAGUAGAUGGGGCACACUGCAAAGUGCGAUCCCCACAUACCUAAGUUAGUAUCAAUUACUACUAACAAAACUCGGCCAAGACUCUUUUGCAUUCGUUUUGUUUCUCUCUUUUACCCUGAUUAUAUUAAGAAAUAUGACAGGCCUGUGACUCACUGAUUAGACCAUCUUAGUCACUUUGGGUUGUCCCAGCAACAGGAGACUUAACUCUGACCAUAGGUAAGGAGCCCAGAGGACAGGAGAGCAGGGAUUUCUGAGGAUUUAACAAAUGCUUAUAAACAAAUGAUAUCACUUUGAACAAAGUAAUCAAAGUAUCAAAUGCUAUAAACACCACAGUAGGGCAAUGUGUGAAUCAUACUUGUGGUGAGACAUACAUAGAUCAGCUGCAAAGAGGAACUCAAUUCUGCAGAACCUCAGCUGGAGUAACUGAUGUGAAACAUGGACAGGGAAAUGGAAGGAAGUCAGCGGACACGGAAACUCUAGGAACUGAACUUUGACAAGGAACGCCGUCCAUAAUCCCAAGUCCUAUGACUUCAUAGAGGAAAAAAACCCUAGUGGAGCAGAACAGGGCCUCAUAGAGGGGCUGGGGCCUCACUGAGGGCUGGGAAGUUUGAUAGGACUUCCCUUGCUGGUAAGGAACAAAACUGGGUCUCAGGUUCAGGUUUGUAAAGCUAAUUUCAUACAUUUGCAGCAGAUGCUGUCAGUGUCCCUCCCCAAGCCCCUCAGCACUCAGCAUUCAUAGACAUCCUCAUCUUGCAAGCACCUGAGUCUCUCUCUGUAAGGUUUCUGUUGGCCUCAGGGCAGACCAGGGUACCAGGGAGGGCAGACCAGGGUACCAGGGAGCACAGCCCUCAAAGAAAGAUGACAGGAGUUGGUGUAAAUCUCAUGGCUUUCAUGUUACUUAGGGGGACCAAUGCUGAGGCAUGCUUAGCAUGAUCCUCUGUGAGACUGGGCCUCAGGUGUCCGCUGCAGCCGCCUGUUCAUUAGUGUGACAUGCACGGGAUUCCUUCCGUAUCCUGGCCCCUUUCUCUACUUCCCAACCGUGCUUCCUGAGACAUACUCAAAUCCUUGUCUCACACUUGGCUUCUGGGAGAAUCCAACUGCAAAUGCUGUGUUUUAUUUUUUAUUUAUGUAUUUAAUUAUUUGGAGAUAGGGUCUCCCUCUGUCACCCAGGCUGGAGUAAAAUGGCACAAUCCUAGCUCACUGCAAUAUUAAACUCCUGGGCUCCAGUAAUCCUCAGCCUCCAGGAGCUGGAACUACAGUCGUGCACAGCAAUGCCAGCUAAAGUUUCCUUUAAAUUUUUUGUAGAGUCAAGAUCUCACUAUUUCAGUCAGGUCUUGAACUCCUUGCCUCCCAAAGUUCUGGGAUUACAGCACUUGGCCUCCCAAAGUGCUGGGAUUACAGGCGUGAGCCACUGCAUCUGGCUGUUUAUUCCAUUAAAAUGAUUGAAGGAGUCUCUUGCUUUGGGAAUUUUGCUCCCGUGGUGAGAACACUAUGGGAAUGACAUCUCAAGAAUAUGGCUCCUUCAAAUGAAUUUAAAAUGGUCUUUCUAUUUUUGUCCAGUGGUUACAAUAGCUGAUGGGCUCGAGGUAAGGAGAUGCUAAGCUGCCAUUCUCUCCUUCAACCCAUGGCAUUUACUGAGCUUCUAAAUCAGUCAGGCCCUGGGCUGGACCCUGGGCAUGCAGACUGAAUCAGAGCCUUCAGGACUAGCAGGAGAGACAGGUAUAUAUAGUGGCAAGGGCAAUAUUUAUUCACUCAUUCAUUCUUUUUCCUUUUUUAUGUGCCAAAUCUUUAAUGAGGGCCUACCUUGUACUCAGGAACACCAGGAAUAAACAGAAAACAAAAAGAUAUCAUUUCUGGACUCAGUUCACCAUCUAGAGAAAAAAAAAAAAAAAAAAAAAGACCUGAAAUGGACAAAUACAGUACUGUUUGACAAAUGUCACGUAAGAAGAAGCCCAUGAUACUGAGGAUGGUAUAGGAGGGGCCGUAUCCAGGUUGAAGGAGUCAAAUAUGACAGCUGCCGUGAGAAUUACAAUCAGAAAACCAUGACCCGGAUGCUUAUCCUAUUCAUUGCUUGAGCCUGAGAACACAAACACACAGGGUGUGGCUGAAAUUCCUCUGAAAUUGUAUUGAUUUGAGAAAACUGCAAUCUUGUGUUAAAAUGUGAAUCAUACACAAGGAUGCAAAACAGUUACCGCUGACCAUAAAUCUAGGCUAUCAGAAUGGAAUCUGAUGGCUUGUCUACCAGACUGCAUUGUGAAACCAAUCAAAUGGGAGAUAGACUCACCACUUACCAAGUACCUCUGAGACACCAGGCACCCUGUGGGGUGCCCUACUCAUCAUCUUGUUUAACCAGUUGAUUGGGAAUAGCUCCAUUUUACAGAGAAAGACUGUUAGGCAGCUUUCUAAGAUGGCCCUAAUUAUUCCUUCCUUCUGGUAAUCCCCUUCCUUUAAAUGUGGGCUACACUUAAUUACCUGCUUUUAACAAACAGAAUAUAGCAAAAGUGAUGGGAUGUCAGGAGACUGAAUCAGUAACCAAAAACCUCCAGACAAAGAAAAGCCCAGGGCCAGAGGGCUUCACUGGUAAAUUUACCAAACAUUUAAAGAAGAAUUAGCACCAGUCUUUCUCAAACUCCUCAACAAAUUGAAGAGGAGAGAACACUUCUAAAUACACUUUAUGAGGCCAGCAUUACCCUAACAUCAGAGCCAGACAAAGACACAAGAAAAGAAAACUACAGACUAAUAUUUCUAAUGAAUCUUGAUGCACAAAUCCUCAAAAAAGAAGAAAACAUACUAGCAAACAUAAUUCAGCCGCACAUUAAAAGGAUUAAGCACCAUGACAAAGUGGGAUUUAUUCUUAGUAUAAAAGGAUAUUUCAACGUAAAAAAGUCAAUGUAAUAUAUCACAUUAAUAGAAUGAUGAGAAAAAAUCCACAAGAUUAUCCCAAUUGAUGCAUUUAACAAAACUUAAUACUCUUUCAUGAAAAAACACUCAACAAACCAGGAAUACAUGAAACUACCCCAACAUAAGACAGUCCACAAAUGAAAAGCUCACAACCAACAUAAUACUCAUGGUGAAAAGCUGAAAGCUUCCUCUAAGAUCAGGAAUGAGACAAAAAUGUCCACUUUUGAAUCAACCUGUAUUCAACAUAGUAUAAGAAGUCCUCGCCAGAAUUUUCAGGAAAAAAAAAAAAGAAAGAAAAAAAAGCCAGUCAAAUUGAAAAGAAAGAAGAAAAAUUAUCUUUGCUCACAAAUGACAUGAACUUAUAAAACUCCUAGAAUUAAUAAAUGGAUGCUGCAAUGUUGAAGGAUACAAAAAUCAACACACAAAAAUCAGUUAUGUUUUUAUAUACUAACAAUGAAUGAGCCAAAAAUGAAAUUAAAACAAUUCCAUUUACAAUAGCAUCAGAAAGACUAAAAUACCUAACAAUAAACUUAACCAAGGAGGUAAAAUGCUUGAGUAUUUAGACACUAAAAAUUAUAAGGCCUGCACGGUGGUUCAUACCUGUAAUCCCAGCAUUUUGGGAGGCAGGUGGAUCACUUGAGGUUAGGAGUUUGAGACCAGCCUGGCC
rnacentral:lncRNA from 10 species